rnacentral:rRNA from 1 species
UACAGAGGGUGCGAGCGUUGUUCGGAAUUAUUGGGCGUAAAGGGCGCGUAGGCGGUGCGGCAAGUCACCUGUGAAACCUCUGGGCUUAACCCAGAGCCUGCAGGCGAAACUGCCGUGCUGGAGUGUGGGAGAGGUGCGUGGAAUUCCCGGUGUAGCGGUGAAAUGCGUAGAUAUCAGGAGGAACACCGGUGGCGAAGGCGGAUCUCUGGGCCUGUUCUGACGCUGAGGCGCGAAAGCUAGGGGAGCGAACAGG